rnacentral:tRNA from 1 species
GCUCAGGUGGCAGAGCCCGGUUAAUGCGAAAGACUUAAGCUCUUUACACAGAGGUUCAACCCCUCUCCUCAGCU